GAUGAACGCUAGCUACAGGCUUAACACAUGCAAGUCGAACGGUAACAGGAAGAAGCUUGCUUCUUUGCUGACGAGUGGCGGACGGGUGAGUAAUGUCUGGGAAACUGCCUGAUGGAGGGGGAUAACUACUGGAAACGGUAGCUAAUACCGCAUAACGUCGCAAGACCAAAGAGGGGGACCUUCGGGCCUCUUGCCAUCGGAUGUGCCCAGAUGGGAUUAGCUAGUAGGUGGGGUAACGGCUCACCUAGGCGACGAUCCCUAGCUGGUCUGAGAGGAUGACCAGCCACACUGGAACUGAGACACGGUCCAGACUCCUACGGGAGGCAGCAGUGGGGAAUAUUGCACAAUGGGCGCAAGCCUGAUGCAGCCAUGCCGCGUGUAUGAAGAAGGCCUUCGGGUUGUAAAGUACUUUCAGCGGGGAGGAAGGGAGUAAGUAAUACCUUGCUCAUUGACGUUACCCGCAGAAGAAGCA
rnacentral:rRNA from 1 species